rnacentral:sRNA from 1 species
UUUUUGCGUUAGGGAUAGGAGCGUCAUCCUUUUUUUUUGCUUUUCAGCAAAAAAAAGAUACAGCGGAUAGCCCGUUAAAAC